GGGCCCGUAGCUCAGAUGGAUAGAGCGACUGACUACGAAUCAGUAGGUCGGGUGUUCGAGCCACCCCGGGCCCA
rnacentral:tRNA from 1 species